rnacentral:rRNA from 1 species
GUCCACGCAGUAAACUGUGAACACUAGGUGUAGCGGGUAUUGACCCCUGCUGUGCCGAAGCUAACGCAUUAAGUGUUCCGCCUGGGAAGUACGGUCGCAAGGCUAAAACUCAAAGGAAUUGACGGGGGCCCGCACAAGCGGUGGAGCAUGUGGUUUAAUUCGACGCAACGCGAAGAACCUUACCUGGGUUUGACAUCCCGGGAAUCCCCUGGAAACAGGGGAGUGCCCUUCGGGGAGCCCGGAGACAGGUGCUGCAUGGCUGUCGU